UUGACCAAUCAGAAGGAUGAAACCAAUAAAUCAAUCAGGAUAAUCAAUCUCCUAAACAUUCUGGAAGUCCCAGUGGGGCCCACUUCCACGUGCGUGCACCGUGACUCCUCUGCAGUCGCAGCACAAUAAAACUACCCUUUUACACAAAUAGGUGGGACCACCACAUGGGCACUGCACUCCUUCUUCUUCUUCUUCCUCCUCCUCUCCCUUUUUUUUUCCCUCCUGCACUCCAAUCAAGCACUGAUUGCGUAGCUUGUACGUCCUCUGUUUUUU
rnacentral:lncRNA from 1 species